rnacentral:rRNA from 1 species
UCCGUAGGGUGCAAGCGUUGUCCGGAAUUAUUGGGCGUAAAGAGCUCGUAGGCGGUUUGUCGCGUCUGCUGUGAAAACUCGGGGCUUAACCCCGGGCCUGCAGUGGGUACGGGCAGACUAGAGUGCGGUAGGGGAGACUGGAAUUCCUGGUGUAGCGGUGAAAUGCGCAGAUAUCAGGAGGAACACCGGUGGCGAAGGCGGGUCUCUGGGCCGUAACUGACGCUGAGGAGCGACAGCGUGGGGAGCAAACAGG